rnacentral:rRNA from 1 species
GCUAAGUACGGGUGAGGAGGCGGGGUAAGGCGUAGGAUGCAUGCGUUGGCCGGAUUUAUGUGGCGUAAAGAGGUCGUAGGCGUGUCGUUAAGUCUGAUGUUAAAGAUCGGGGCCCAACCCUGAGAGUGCAUGGGAUACUGGCGAACUGGAGUGCAGUAGAGGCGAGUGGAAGUCCCAGUGUAGCGGUGAAAUGCGUAGAUAUUGGGAAGAACACCGGUGGCGUAGGCGACUCGCUGGGCUGUAACUGACGCUGAGGAACGAAAGCCAGGGGAGCGAAUGGGAUUAGAUACCCCGGUAGUC